CACGUAGGGCGCAAGCGUUGUCCGGAAUUAUUGGGCGUAAAUAGCUCGUAGGCGGUCCGUCACGUCCGCUGUGAAAACCCAGGGCUCAACCCUGGGCUUGCAGUGGAUACGGGCAGACUAGAGGUAGGUAGGGGAGAAUGGAAUUCCCGGUGUAGCGGUGAAAUGCGCAGAUAUCGGGAGGAACACCGGUGGCGAAGGCGGUUCUCUGGGCCUUACCUGACGCUGAGGAGCGAAAGCGUGGGGAGCGAACAGG
rnacentral:rRNA from 1 species